rnacentral:rRNA from 1 species
GACGAACGCUGGCGGCGUGCUUAACACAUGCAAGUCGAACGGAAAGGCCCUGCUUUUGUUGGGUGCUCGAGUGGCGAACGGGUGGGUAACACGUGAGUAACCUGCCCUUGACUUUGGGAUAACUUCAGGAAACUGGGGCUAAUACCGCAUAUGAGCUCUUGCUGCAUGGUGUGGGUUGGAAAGUUUCGGCCGUUGGGGAUGGACUCGCGGCUUAUCAGCUUGUUUGUGGGGUAGUGGCUUACCAAGGCUCUGACGGCUAGCCGGCCUGCGAGGGUGACCGGCGACAUUGGGACUGAGAUACGGCCCAGACUCCUACGGGAGGCAGCAGUGGGGAAUAUUGCACAAUGGGCGGAAGCCUGAUGCAGCGACGCCGCGUGCGGGAUGACGGCCUUCGGGGUGUAAACAGCUUUCGACUGUGACGAAGCGUGAGUGACGGUAAUGGGUAAAGAAGCACCGGCUAACUACGUG